rnacentral:tRNA from 1 species
UCCCUGGUGGCUCAGUGGUUAAGAAUCUGCCUGUCAACGCAGGAGACACAGGUUCAAUCCCUGGCCCGGGAA